GAUGAAGAACGUAGCGAAAUGCGAUACGUAAUGUGAAUUGCAGAAUUCAGUGAAUCAUCGAAUCUUUGAACGCAUAUUGCGCUCUCUGGUAUUCCGGAGAGCAUGCUUGUUUGAGUAUCAGUAAACACCUCAACUUCCAUAUCUUUUUUUGAAAUGGGAGUUGGACUUGAGUGAUCCCAACGCUUUUCCUCACCGAAAAGUGGCGGGUUACUUGAAAUGCAGGUGCAGCUGGACUUUUCUCUGAGCUAUAAGCAUAUCUAUUUAGUCUGCCUAAAAAACAGAUUAUUACCUUUGCUGCAGCUAACAUAAAGGAGAUUAGUUCUUGUGCUGACUGAUGCAGGAUUCACAAAGACAGCUUCGGCCGACUUUGUAAACUCGAUCUCAAAUCAAGUAAGACUACCCGCUGAACUUAAGCAUAUAAUAAGCGGAGGA
rnacentral:misc_RNA from 1 species